UAGAAGGCCAAUGGCCCACAGCGUGCAGGGUGCAGUUUAUUAAGACAUAUUAGUCAUGUCAGUAAGUGUGAACUUUAUCCCAGUUGCCUGUGAGAAGAGACACUGGAAGCUUUCAGCCAUGGAAAUGACACGAUGCAGUUGGCAUUUUGUAAAUAUCACUCUGGUAACAGUUGGAAAAAGAAGCUUAACCCCCGACACGAAGUGACUAGUUAUUGAGCUGUUCCAGUAAUCCAAGUAAGAGAUGAUGGAGUGAUAAGAAAGAAGAAAACAGAAAGGAGGAAAAAACCUUGAGGGAGUGGAAUUGCUAAGUCCCAGUACUGUGGAUAAAGAAUAACAUUUGCAUCCGGAGAGCCUUGUCCAUUGCAGUAAAGUGACUUCGUCCUCUGCAUCAGCUGUGGGGAGAAGGGUAGAACUGAAGAAACGGAGGGACAGAAAGCCAGUCCCAGAGCAUGCUCUUUAGAGGAGAGACUCCCCUCACCUUAUGGAACAGCCGUGGAAAUGUGUUCAGUGGCAAAAGUGACCAUAGAGCCUUCUGUCCAGAAGCUGCUCUGGGCAGCUGCGAUAUCACGUGUGUAUGGAAAUCAGGUAGUUUUACCAGCCCAGAUGGACACCACCUGUUCCUGUGCCAACAUUCUAUGCUUGUGGGCAAAAGAACAGUAGCCAAAAGGUUAUGUCCUGACUGAGCUGUCACUGUGGGCCUGAGCCCUGUCACUGAGCAGUAUUGUCUCUGCAUACCUUGAUUCUUCUCUCUUGGUGGGAAGCAGCCCUCUUACCCAGGCACUCACAGCAUUCUCCAGAGGUAAAUGUUCCUAACCCACCUGAUGGUUCCGAUGGAAACAAACCUACUAGCAGAGGUGCAAUUGUUUCAACCCGAAGGCUCUACCCUGGGUACCAAGCUCCCUUCUAGUUCCUAUCGUUAAAGACCUGAAGAGAAAUCCUGCAGAGGGGUGACGUGUUUUUGCUUGUGCAUGUCUGAGCUCUAGAGUAUAUAGAAAUUUCUAGAACCAUGUUUCCAGUGCAGCUAAGCUGAUGACGUGCCCCAACUCCAUUAAAAGUCUAUUGGGAAGAAUCCAGCCUGAGCUGAACAGUAGGAAACACCAGUUCCUUGAGAAAAGGUUUUCACUGUCGCGUUGCCACCUUCACAGUGGAAAAGCAUGUUGCCUGCUGAGAACAUCCAAUCAGUGCAGCUGUUAUUCUCGCACGAACAGGACAGAUGUGAGCUAACAGCCUCUGAGUACCCUUCCCAUGGCACUGGCUACACACUCGGCAUGUCCAGAACCAGGGCUCAGAAGGCAAUUGAGAAGAGCAAAAUCUAUCCAUGACAACCUGAAGGUGGCAAUAUUCACAUUUACUUGAAAACUGCUGGAGAAUGAGCUACUUGUUCUUAUGUGAGUAUGUAAACAUAUGCAAAUGUAUGCAAAUGCUAGGCCCUCUUAGCCAUUUUCUCCAUCUGGAUGUGGCCCCUUGUGGUGAGGCCAGAAGCAAGUGGGCUCUGAGUGAGGGAAUCUGUCCAGCCUUCCCCUGGAGCUGAGGGGAGAGCUUCUUUGUCCAUCUUCUACUCACCCCGGUCCACAAUGGUACAUACACCAUGGCUUGGCUCAGUUUGCUCUGAUGUGGAGAAGGCAGACUCCCUUUGCCUACUUCAUCCCCACUGGCUGCCAUCCCACCCUGCCCACACCACAGUGAGAUAAAGAUGGUAUCUGAUGCAUUGAGGAACACAAAGGGAAACCUUCCAUGUUUCUGGGCCUCAGCCAUCUUCUGUACAGGAAUGAACCUGAUUCACUGAAAGCUCUCUCCCAGAAGGUCGCAUCUGAAUAUAUAAUGUGAACUAGAGCAUCAGGGCUGUGUGUGCUAUGACUCACUACCAUCUGAAAGCAAGAGAAAGAAAGAGCAAGAGACUGGAAGUCUUUUUGGAACACAGACG
ensembl:lncRNA